UCCCUGAUGGCUCAGCGGGUAAAGAAUCUGCCUACAAUGCAGGAAGUGCAGGUUCGAUUCCUGGGUCGGGAA
rnacentral:tRNA from 1 species